GUUCAGACAACACAGUCCCAGAAAGAGAUGCUCUUAUGGCCGAUGUCAUCAACACUGCUACAGAGGACACUGCAGUCAACAGGAAUUCUGUUGACCCCCUGCCUGGCAAUCUCUCCUCCCCUGAAUCAGUCUUGGAUGCAACACCCACGGGAUUUCUCAACCUGGGCUUCUGUGAAGAAGAUUCAUCCCAGAAGCCAGACAUUCCCAGUGACCAGCCCCAGGUGGCACCCACAACAUCUGGAUUCAGGCCAUUCAAGGUCUGGAAAUUGGUGAAGAAGCAAAUUUCCCAUGCACUGAGAGCACUGUUCUGCUGCUGCUGCUGCUACCUGCCCACCCCAAGUGUGGAAACUGAAACGGCCCAAUAGAAUUCCAGACCUGGUGAGGAGUGAGUGCCACAGAAGUGAGCCAGAACUGAUCUCCAGUGUGCCAGCUCCCUCCAACCCAGGGCAACAGGCUCCUGCCUACAUUCAUCCUCCAGCUAUUGGGUCUGAGCUGCCACUCUGCAUCUCUUUCAGCUUAACCCAGCUUCAGAACUGUUGUGGAACAAUGCGGGGUCGUAAGGCACAUGGACCCCAUGACCCUCUCCCUUCCUAGCCUUGGUUGUGCUUGUAGGACCACUCACACUGCAUGGAAAACAGCAGCCUCUACCAUCGGGAAGGAUUAUUAUACCAACCUCAGCUGCUCAUCAUCUUGGUCACUUUAACCCUCAACUUACUCUGUGACUGCCUUUUGGAAAGAACAGCAAGACCUGUGUAAAUCCUCUGGAAAAUGGAGAUCUGGUGUGCAGCAGGGGAAAGAUGCAGCACUAUUGGUCAGUGGAGUCCUGUCCUCCUCAGUGCUGACCUUCUCCAUUCAGGCUUCCGAUGUUGCCCCCCACCUCCUGAUCCAAGAAUCUUACAUCAUUUUUUCCAUCUCAUGGAGGGAUUUAUAACUGACAUUUGACCUUACAUUAACAUUGUUCUGCUCCAAUGUGGGAAGGACACCUUCCAGGUAGGGAGCAUCUCACUGAUUUACAAGGGAAAAUGAACUCAACAGGGAAUCCAGGGUACUAAUCUGUGUGAAUCAUGGGCCUGCAGGUAAGUUUGAGUACAGUAAGUAUCUGUGUGUGGUAGAAGACAAGUCUCUGAAGCCUGGUCUUGAUGUGCUGAAAAGGAUCCCAUGAGGUGGCAUGUGCCAGCAUCCCUGACACAGAGGUAAAGUUAUCAUUGACUUGCUCAACUGAAGAGCAAUGGGAGACUGAGAGACUGCAGAGGUGUGACAAGGGAGGAACCAUCUUCUCUGUUACAGUUGGCCUCCAGCUCCAUUCUGACCAUCUGAUUCUGUCCUGUUAGCAAACACUGAUGGGUAUGAAAGUCUUUGGCCAGAUCUUCCCAGUGGAUGAUAGCCAGCUUGUGCUGUCACUGACUUCUAGAACCCUGACCAUCUGGGUCAGGGAUUGAACUGAAGGUUCUGUCAUCCAGGAUGGACUACAAACAGCAGCAAAGUCCAAAUCUAACUUUCAGAAUAGAAGUCUAUGUCCACCACUGAACAGAUACCUGGAGGAUCCCCACCUGCAGUCCAGGAUAUAUCCCAUGACUUCAACCUGACCAAUCAGGAGAGUCCAGAUUGGCUACCUAGUCUGAUUGAUUGAGUUCUUUCUAUUUGAGCCUUGAGAUCACAGCUGAGGACUCAAGUGAUGAGCUCUCUACAUCAGGAGACACAGGGUGGCAACUUACAGGUGUGGCCUGAGACAGCAGAAGUCGGAGCUCUGCAGGAAGUCCAGAUGGCAGUGUGCCCACUUCCCCAGCAUGAAGGGUCUCUGUCCUGCACAGGAGGAGGAAAGUGACAGCAAGCUGGAGGAAAA